UUGGAGGGCAAGUCUGGUGCCAGCAGCCGCGGUAAUUCCAGCUCCAAUAGCGUAUAUAAAAAUUGUUGCAGUUAAAAAGCUCGUAGUUGAAUUUCUGCUGCAUUGCUUUUGCUCCUUUACGAGUCUUUGCAUUGUGGCUUAUUUCGGACUUUGUUUUACAAUGUCCGGAUGUUUACUUUGAGAAAAUUAGAGUGCUCAAAGCAGGCUUUCGCCUUGAAUAGUUUAGCAUGGAAUAAUAAAGUAGGACUUUGGUUCUAUUUUGUUGGUUUUAGGUACCAAAGUAAUGGUUAAAAGGAACAGUUGGGGGCAUUCGUAUUUAACUGUCAGAGGUGAAAUUCUUAG
rnacentral:rRNA from 1 species